rnacentral:rRNA from 1 species
UACGUAGGGCGCAAGCGUUGUCCGGAAUUAUUGGGCGUAAAGAGCUCGUAGGCGGCUCGUCACGUCGGGUGUGAAAGCCCGGGGCUUAACCCCGGGUCUGCAUUCGAUACGGGCAGGCUAGAGUGUGGUAGGGGAGAUCGGAAUUCCUGGUGUAGCGGUGAAAUGCGCAGAUAUCAGGAAGAACACCAAUGGCGAAGGCAGCUCUCUGGGACGGUACUGACGCUGAGACGCGAAAGCGUGGGGAGCGAACAGG